AACCUGCCUCCAUGUUUUUAAACUCACAACUUUUCUUUGCAUGAAACGAGAAUACAUGUCACCUUCAAAUCAAGGAUUUCAAAGCCUAAACAUCAAGGCCCCUAAUUUCUCGCUUUUAAAAAUGCAGGAAGCAAUGUUGCUGCACAGGUUUGAUAAUUAAAUCAUGGUAAAAAUUCAUCAUCUUAUAUCCCUUGGAGACACACUUUCCUGUCCAGGGAUUUUAGUUUUCAUUUGCUGGGUGAUACACUUCUUAAAUUGAAACUUCACUCCUAGAAGAUGUACCUUCUAAUCGAGUCAUUUCCUUUGGCUCUUAGAAGACGCACCUUUUAGUCGAUUCAUCCCCCUUAAUUCCUAUAAGACGUACCUUUUAGUCGAGUCACCCCCUUGAUUCCUAUAAGGCAUAACUUUUAGUAGAGUCAUCUCCCUUGAUUCCUAGAAGACGUACCUUUUAGUCGAGUCAUCCCCCUUGAUUCCUAUAAGGUGUACCUUUUAGUUGAGUUAUCCCCCUUGAUGCCUAUAAGACAUACCUUUUAGUCGAGUCAUCUCCCUUUGAUUCCUGUAAGACGUACCUUUUAGUCGAGUCAUCUCCCUUUGAUUCCUAUAAGACGUACCUUUUUGUCGAGUCAUUCUCCUUGACCCUAGAACACAUACCUUUUAGUCGAGUCAUCUUCUUUUGAUUCCUAUAAGACGUACCUUUUAGUCAAGUCACUCCCCUUGACCCCUAGAAGACGUACCUUUUAGUUGAGUCAUUCCCUUUGAUUCCUAUAAGACGUACCUUUUAGUUGAGUCAUUCCCUUUGAUUCCUAUAAGACGUACCUUUUAGUCGAGUCAUUCCCCAUGAUUCCUAUAAGGCAUACCUUUUAGUCGAGUCGUUCCUUUGAUUCCUAUAAGGCGUACCUUUUAGUCGAGUUGUUCCUUUGAUCCCUAUAAGAUGUACCUUUUAGUCGAGUCAUUCCCCUUGACCCCUAUAAGAUGUACCUUUUAGUCGAGUCAUUCCCCUUGACCCAUAUAAGAUGUACCUUUUAGUCGAGUCAGCUCCCUUGAUUCCUAUAAGGCGUACCUUUUAGUCGAGUAAGUUCCCUUGACCCUUUAAGGCGUACCUUUUAGUCGAGUCAUUCCCUUUGAUUUCUAUAAGACGUACCUUUUAGUCGAGUCAUUCCCUUUGAUUUCUAUAAGACGUACCGUUUAGUCGAGUCAUUCUCAUUAAUUCCUAUAAUGAUGUGACUUUCAUAAAAGCCUUUGAUGAUAAACUGGGGCAAAAUUUAAUUCUUGUUUUUGGAACUUUACUUUUCUUUUCUGACAAACGAAAUUUCUCUUUAUAAUAAUUUUUGUUUGGGAUAAUUUUCUUUCCAGUUUUGAUGUGAUUUCAGGAGCCUGCCUGAAGCACAGGGCGAAUAAAUGGAAAACCAAGCAACAAGGUGAAGAAAUUAAAAGUUAAACAGAUUGAAAAAUAGCAAGUCAGGAGCCCUCCUGCAGAGCAGGGUGAAGAAAUUGAAAGCAUAGCGACAAGUUGAUGAAAUAGCAAGUCAGGAACCCGCCUGGAGAACAGUGUGUAGAAAUUAAAAGGCAAGCAACAAGUUGACGAAAUUGCAAGUCAGGAACCGGCCUGAAGAAUAGGGUGAUGAAGUAGAGAGUCAAGAGUCCAACAGAAGCUGCGUAGAUAGGAUUUUUAUAAUUUCAUUUAUAUUUUUAACUUGUAAUUUUCAUUUUUGAUGUAAUGACAGAGACGCGG
rnacentral:lncRNA from 1 species